rnacentral:rRNA from 1 species
CAGUCGCCACGGUAAUACGGAGGGUGCAAGCGUUAAUCGGAAUUACUGGGCGUAAAGCGUGCGUAGGCGGUGAGUUAAGUCUGCUGUGAAAUCCCCGGGCUCAACCUGGGAAUGGCAGUGGAUACUGGCUCGCUAGAGUGUGUCAGAGGAUGGUGGAAUUCCCGGUGUAGCGGUGAAAUGCGUAGAGAUCGGGAGGAACAUCAGUGGCGAAGGCGGCCAUCUGGGACAACACUGACGCUGAGGCACGAAAGCGUGGGGAGCAAACAGGAUUAGAUACCCGCGUAGUCCCUGUCUCUUAUAC